rnacentral:rRNA from 1 species
GAUGAACGCUGGCGGCGUGCCUAAUACAUGCAAGUCGAGCGAACAGAUAAGGAGCUUGCUCCUUUGACGUUAGCGGCGGACGGGUGAGUUACACGUGGAUAACCUACCUAUAAGACUGGGUUAACUUCGGGAAACCGGAGCUAAUACCGGAUAACAUAUUGAACCGCAUGGUUCAAUAGUGAAAGGCGGCUUUGCUGUCACUUAUAGAUGGAUCCGCGCCGUAUUAGCUAGUUGGUAAGGUAACGGCUUACCAAGGCAACGAUACGUAGCCGACCUGAGAGGGUGAUCGGCCACACUGGAACUGAGACACGGUCCAGACUCCUACGGGAGGCAGCAGUAGGGAAUCUUCCGCAAUGGGCGAAAGCCUGACGGAGCAACGCCGCGUGAGUGAUGAAGGUCUUCGGAUCGUAAAACUCUGUUAUCAGGGAAGAACAAAUGUGUAAGUAACUGUGCACAUCUUGACGGUACCUGAUCAGAAAGCCACGGCUAACUACGUG